AUAAUUUAUUUUUUGUUAUUGUUUAUUUUUAAUUUAAUUUUUUUUUUUUAGUAUUAGUUAGAAAUAAUUUUGUUUAUUAACUGUUAAGGUUAAUUUAAAAUUGUUUUAUGAGUAUUUAUAGUACCUUUUGUAUCAGGGUUGAUUUAUUUUUUAAUUUAUAUUUAUUAUCCCGAAUUAAGGGUAUUUAGAGAUGAAUUUUUUUUUUAUGUUUUAUAUUAUUAAUAAAUUUGUUUCUAGUAGUUAAAAGUUAAUCGUUCCUUACAUAUAUCUGGUUUUAUGGGAAUUAAAUUUAAUUUAGGUUUAUUUUUUUGUACUUAAAUGAUUGGGGAUAAUCUUGAUUUUUUGUUAAAAUUUGUUUUAUCUUAUUUUUUAUAUCUUUAGUAUCUUUGAAUUUAGUUCGUAAUAGAUUUAAAUUAUUAAUAUAUAAUUUUUUAAUUAUUUAUCUUCUUACUAUAAUUAUUUAAUUAAUUUUUAUUUAUUUUUAUUAAUGAUUUAAUUAGUAUAAUUUUUAUUUAUUUAUUUAUGAAUUCGACAAAUUUAAUUUUCAACUGUUUAUCAAAAACAUUUUUUUAAGAUUAUUAUUUAAAGUAGGUUCUGCCCUAUGAUUAAUUUUUUAAAUGGCUGCAGUAUCUUGACUGUGCAAAGGUAGCAUAAUAAUUAGUUUCUUAAUUAGGGGCUUGUAUGAAUGGAUUAAUGAGAAAUUUAUUUUAUUAUAAUUAUUUUUAUAAAUUAAUUUUUUAGUUAAAAUGCUUAAAUGUAUUAUUGGGACGAUAAGACCCUAUAGAACUUUUAAUUUGUAUUUAUUUUAUUAUAAUUUAGGUUUAUAUUAUUUGUAUUAUUAUUUAUUUUUUGCUGGGGUGGUGAAUAAAAUUUUAACUUUAUUUUUUUUUAUCAUUAAUUUAUGUUUUUUUGAUCCAAUAUAUUGAUUUUAAGAUUAAGUUACCUUAGGGAUAACAGCGUAAUUUUAGUGGAAAGUUCAUAUUUAUAUUAAAGUUUGCGACCUCGAUGUUGAAUUAAGAUUAAAUUAAGGGGUAGGUUCUUUAAGAUUAGGUCUGUUCGACCUUUAAAUUCUUACAUGAUUUGAGUUCAAACCGGUGUAAGCCAGGUUGGUUUCUAUCUAAUUAUUUUUUAAUCUUUUUAGUACGAAAGGACCAUUAGAUUCUAUAUUUAUAGUUUAUUUGAAUUUUAU
rnacentral:rRNA from 1 species